GAUGAACGCUGGCGGCGUGCCUAAUACAUGCAAGUCGAGCGAACAGACGAGGAGCUUGCUCCUCUGACGUUAGCGGCGGACGGGUGAGUAACACGUGGAUAACCUACCUAUAAGACUGGGAUAACUUCGGGAAACCGGAGCUAAUACCGGAUAAUAUAUUGAACCGCAUGGUUCAAUAGUGAAAGACGGUUUUGCUGUCACUUAUAGAUGGAUCCGCGCCGCAUUAGCUAGUUGGUAAGGUAACGGCUUACCAAGGCGACGAUGCGGAGCCGACCUGAGAGGGUGAUAGGCAACACGGGAACUGAGAAAGGUCCCAGACCCCAAGGGGAGGCAGAAGGAGGAAAUCUGCCGCAAGGGGCGAAAGCCUGACGGAGCAACGCGGCGUGAGUGAGGAAGGUCUUCGGAUCGUAAAACCCUGUUAUGAGGGAAGAACAAAUGUGUAAGUAACUAUGCACGUCUGGACGGUACCUAAGCAGAAAGCCACGCCUAACUCCGG
rnacentral:rRNA from 1 species